CACUUGCAGCGUACGUCUUUGUACAUUCGUACAAUCUUGUACAUCACUUUGCAAUGUUACGUUUGUUAACACUGAAUAUCGACACACCUCAAUGCGUGCGGAGACAUUCCAGAUUGUUUAUCGGAUAAUUGUGUCUUACGAA
rnacentral:misc_RNA from 1 species